GCUGGGUGUGGUGGCACGUGCCUGUAGUCCUGGCUACUUGGAAGGCUGAGGCUGUAGGAUCUCUUGAGGCCAGGAGUUCUGGGCUGCAGCGCUCUAUGCCGAUCGGGUGUCCGCACUAAGUUCGGCAUCAAUAUGGUGACCUCCCGGGAAUGGGGGCCCACCAGGUUGCCUAAGGAGGGCUGAACUGGCCCAGGUGGGAAAUGGAGCAGGUCAAAACUCCCGUGCUGAUCAGUAGUGGGAUCGCGCCUGUGAAUAGCCACCACACUCCAGCCUGGGCAACAUAGCAAGACCCAGUCUCUU
ensembl:misc_RNA Metazoa_SRP Metazoan signal recognition particle RNA